rnacentral:rRNA from 1 species
AGUGAACGCUGGCGGUAGGCCUAACACAUGCAAGUCGAACGGCAGCACAGGAGAGCUUGCUCUCUGGGUGGCGAGUGGCGGACGGGUGAGGAAUACAUCGGAAUCUGCCCAGUCGUGGGGGAUAACGUAGGGAAACUUACGCUAAUACCGCAUACGACCUUCGGGUGAAAGAGGGGGAUCGCAAGACCUCUCGCGAUUGGAUGAGCCGAUGUCGGAUUAGCUAGUUGGCGGGGUAAUGGCCCACCAAGGCGACGAUCCGUAGCUGGUCUGAGAGGAUGAUCAGCCACACUUGAACUGAGGCACCGUCCAGACUCCUACGGGAGGCAACAGUGGGGAAUAUUGGACAAUGGGGGCAAACCUUGUCCAACCAUACCGCGUGGGUGGAAAAAGCCUUCCGGUUGUAAAGCCCUUUUUUUGGGAAAAAAAUCCUUCAGGCUAAUACCCUGGGAGGAUGACGGUACCCAAAGAAUAAGCACCGGCUAACUUCGUG